UGAGUACGAGACGCUAAGGCGUCGAAGUAGUGUAUGUCAUACUUCCAAGAAAAGCUUGCACUAUCAUAGAUAAAAAACGCCUGUACCAUAACCGACACAGGUGGGUAGGUAGAGUAUACUAAGGGGCGCGAGAUAACUCUCUCUAAGGAACUCGGCAAAAUAACUCCGUAACUUCGGGAGAAGGAGUGCCUUAUUAUUAAGGUUGCAAUAACAAGAUCCAAGCAACUGUUUAUCAAAAACACAGGUCUCCGCUAAGUCGUAAGACGAUGUAUGGGGGCUGACGCCUGCCCAGUGCCAGAAGGUUAAAGAAGUUGGUUAGCAAUUGCGAAGCUGAUAACUGAAGCCCUGGUGAACGGCGGCCGUAACAAUAACGGUCCUAAGGUAGCGAAAUUCCUUGUCGGGUAAGUUCCGACCCGCACGAAAGGCGUAAUGAUUUGGAUACUGUCUCGGAGAGGGGCUCGGUGAAAUAGACUUGUCUGUGAAGAUGCGGACUACCUGCACCAGGACAGAAAGACCCUAUGAAGCUUUACUGUAACUUGAAAUUGAAAUUGGACUUUAUUCGCGCAGUAUAGGUGGGAGGCGUUGAUUAUAAUCUUGCGGGAUUAUUGGAGCCAUCAGUGAGAUACCACUCUUGUAAUGUUAGAUUUCUAACUUUGAAUCAUUAUCUGGUCAAAGAACAGUUUCAGGCGGGCAGUUUGACUGGGGCGGUCGCCUCCUAAACGGUAACGGAGGCGUACAAAGGUUUCCUCUGAACGGUUAGAAAUCGUAUCUAGAGUGUAAAGGCAUAAGGAAGCUUGACUGUGAGACCUACAAGUCGAGCAGGGACGAAAGUCGGUCUUAGUGAUCUGACGGUACUGAGUGGAAAGGCCGUCACUCAACGGAUAAAAGUUACUCUAGGAUAACAGGCUGAUCUCCCCCAAGAGUUCACAUCGACGGGGAGGUUUGGCACCUCGAUGUCGGCUCAUCGCAUCCUGGGGCGGUAGUACGUCCCAAGGGUUGGGCUGUUCGCCCAUGAAAGCGGUACGCGAGCUGGGUUCAGAACGUCGUGAGACAGUUCGGUCCAUAUCCGGUGUAGGCGUUAGAAUAUUGAGAGGAGCCUUCUUUAGUACGAGAGGACCGAGAAGGACAUACCUCUGGUGUACCAGUUAUCGUGCCAACGGUAAACGCUGGGUAGCUAUGUAUGGAGUGGAUAACCGCUGAAAGCAUCUAAGUGGGAAGCCCACCUCAAGAUAAGUAUUC
rnacentral:rRNA from 1 species